rnacentral:rRNA from 1 species
GAUGAACGCUGGCGGCGUGCUUAACACAUGCAAGUCGAGCGGGCAAUUUAUCUAGCACUGAUUACUUCAAAUGGAAAUCAUAAGUGUAAUCAUGAAUUUCUACCUUUAAUAAAGAAAAAGAAAUUCAUGUACGCAAAUAGUGAUAACACAUUUUUAGUGGAGUGAUGAGUGCUGGGAUAAAUUGCUAGCGGCGGACGGGUGCGUAACACGUGGGUAACCUGCCCCUAUCACUGGGAUAACACACUGAAAAGUGUGCUAAUACCAGAUAACAUAAGCUUUUGGCAUCAUUAGCUUAUCAAAGAAUUUCGGAUAGGGAUGGGCCCGCGUCUGAUUAGCUUGUUGGUGAGGUAACGGCUCACCAAGGCAACGAUCAGUAGCCGACCUGAGAGGGUGAUCGGCCACACUGGAACUGAGACACGGUCCAGACUCCUACGGGAGGCAGCAGUGGGGAAUAUUGCACAAU